rnacentral:misc_RNA from 1 species
AAGAGUUUCAAAACUCCCAUAAACCAUCGCGAACGUUACCACAUGUCGUUGCUUCGGCUGGCAGGCGAGCCCCUCACCGGGGGCGGAGCCUCAUUGCGGCCCCUCACGGGGCGCUGGCCGGAGGGACUAAAACAAACCCUUGCAUUUAUUAGCACCUCUGAGUAUGAUUUUAAAUAAGUCA